rnacentral:rRNA from 1 species
UACGUAGGGUGCAAGCGUUAAUCGGAAUUACUGGGCGUAAAGCGCGCGUAGGCGGCCCUGUAAGUCCGUUGUGAAAGUCAAAGGCUCAACCUUUGAAAGCCGAUGGAUACUGCAGGGCUAGAGUCCGGAAGAGGCGAGUGGAAUUCCUGGUGUAGCGGUGGAAUGCGCAGGAUAUCAGGAAGAACACCCGUGGCUAAGGCGGUUCUCUAGUACGGUACUGACGCUGAGACGCGAAAGCGUGGGAGCGAACAGG